GCUGACCAAAGCUUUUGAGAAGAUUGACUCCCUGCAGGGUAAACGUGUAUUCUCCACAUACUUCAGGGUUGGAUUCUAUGGAUCCAGAUUUGGAGAUCUGGAUGGAGAAGAGUUUGUUUAUAAAGAACCAAUGCUCACAAAGCUACCAGAGAUUGCACAGAGAUUAGAGAACUUUUACGG